UUGAAGCUACAGUCAAAAUUUUUUAAACUUUUUUUUCUACCUUUUUAUUCUAUUUUUGAAUUGAAACAAAUCUAAAAAGUGUUGGAGAGAUCCUAUAUUCUAUUUACAAGUAUUGUUUGUGUUUCAUAGUCUGCAAAAGGAGAAAUUUUUUUGAACCUUUUUCUAGUCUGUCAUCUCAAAAGAACUUGUCUAUUUUCUUAUGGGUACAAUUAGAAGUCAGUUUUCAUAAGAUUAAAAAAUAAUAGCUUAUAUAUUUGCUGUUCACAGGUGGCAAAUUUGAAUUUUUCUGGCUCCUUCUUACUAUCUCUCAUCUCAUGUCAAGUUUCAUCAACCAUCACUGACAACACUGAAUUCAAGAGCUUAUAUAGACAGAAUAUCUCUGUUUCUAUUCCUUCUGUACAUGGUUGCUACUAUUGGGUUAGUUUGUUUUCUUAUAUUCAAGGGAAUUCAAGGCCAAAUACAAGCAUCAGAAUCUAUUAAAAUGAAAGAGAAAAGGGUGUUGUAGUUUUAUCUGCCACAAGUUGAAGCUGCAUCUUUUUUGAGCAUUACUCUUGCAUUGGCAUGGCAAAAGGCAGUCAGGGAAUGGGCUUUAUUUAUGGUUCAUUUCAUACGAGGGAGCUCUUUUGUAAUGUCCCUAUCUACUGGAAUUCUCCUUAUUUGCUUCCAAAAACUUGCCACUAAAGGCAUUGGAGUAUAUUUUAUUGCCUUGCAAUUGGCAAUGGAUUGUAUGCUUGUUGGGUCACAACGUGAAUUAAGUUUUGUUCUAAGAUCUUGAUGAAAGCACUUGAGCCAAGUAUUUAGUCC